rnacentral:rRNA from 1 species
AUUGAACGCUGGCGGCAGGCCUAACACAUGCAAGUCGAGCGAGCGGCGGACGGGUGAGUAAUGUCUGGGUAACUGCCUGAUGGAGGGGGGUAACUACUGGAAACGGUAGCUAAUACCGCAUACCAUCGGAUGUGCCCAGAUGGGAUCAGCUAGUAGGUGGGGUAACGGCUCACCUAGGCGACGAUCCCUAGCUGGUCUGAGAGGAUGACCAGCCACACUGGAACGGAGACACGGUCCAGACUCCUACGGGAGGCAGCAGUGGGGAAUAUUGCACAAGGGGCGCAAGCCUGAUGCAGCCAUGCCGGUGGUAUGAAGAAGGCCUUCGGGUGGUAAAGUACUUUCAGCGGGGAGGCGUUACCCGCAGAAGAAGCACCGGCUAACUCCGUGCCAGCCGCCGCGGUAAUAC